ensembl:lncRNA
UUUUCCUUUAGUUCAGGAAAAAAAUCACAAACUGAAAUGCAUAGAGACUAUGACAUGUACAUGUGUGUCGGGAUGAUUUUUACCAUGAAAAUGAAAUUUUCAUUUUUAAAAAGAUCAGAACAUUAAGGACUUAGCAAAAAGGAAAACACACCCUUGUCCAUGACAGUUUCACCUGGAAGCGGUCUAUCACUGUGUCGUCUGGGUUACAGGCCUCAUCUGGGAUCAUAGCUGGGGGUGUGCCAGAUGGUUACCUGUAAGCCAGUGGCCUCAUGGAAAUCGUAGCCCGUCCCUCCCGCUCAUCUCUGACAUUGCCGUACCUGCUUCCUCCUGGGCACCCCUUCUUCCCGCCACUAUUUCCAGUUCACACCCUUGCUCCUCCAAGUUACCAGAGCCAUCUGGUUCCCCAGGCCCUGGCUGCUGAGGCCUCUCCCGUGGCACCUGGCCAGCUGGCAGGGACCGCUCUGGCUGCUGAGUGGUGUUGGAAGAUGCUGCCCGGCUCCUGACAGCUCUGGACACCCCCGCUGAUGUGCAGACCUGCGGGCUCCAGGCCAGGCCGCGGGUGCUGUGGGCCCGUGCCCAGUGCGGCUGUGCCAGCAAUGUGCUUCAUCAUCAGAUCCUCAUCUUAAACUCAGACUUGGACCCCCUCCUGGCACAGACAUCGUGUUUAACCUCAGCAGUGAUUUAAAUGCAGAAACCAGUCUGUGGGUCCAGCAGAGCAAUGUGACUGCACACCCAGGGCCCUUGUGUGCAUUUGGAUGUGGAUGAAGGAGACCAUGGCCUCACGAAUCUUGUUUGUGCAACCGUUUCAGUGUCCUGGGCUCUAAACCAGCCCAUAAGAGGGGUACUGUGUGCACCAUUCACUUAGCAGAUGAAGAGGAUGAGACGCAGAGCUAGUUCUUAAGCAACUCUCUUGGUCCAAGUGACACAUGAAUUUUAGAUGAACAUCUAAUAAGAAACACACCUGGAUUUUGUAAGGAGAGGUAUUAUUUGAGAGGAUUCUGGGCAGGGGGACAGCAAGCGACCACUGCAAUUGGGGGCCUCUGAGCAUCAGUCUGCAGGCAUCGCUGAGGUCCAGCAGGAAGGGUUUUCCUUUUUCGGGAGGAGAAGAUGCUGGACGUGGGAAGUGGGAUGAAGUGGGGCAAGAUCAGGUCAUAGAUGAGAGAGUGCUUUAUCCCAGGUCUGCCUGACCCCAGGAGAGCUGUCUACUGGCAGGAUCUAGGGGAAGAAGAGCCUCUGAACCAGCAUUUUAUUCAGAUAGAUCUGUGGGUACAGGUUUUCCGUGAUCUGUAACUGAUACCAAUCCAACAGAUGCAACUCUCAGAGGGAAAUUUCUGCAGAGGAUCGUGUAGGCGUCCAGAACUUGUGGAGUGAGGAAGGAGAGGGGAGGAGGCCUGGGGAGGUGGCAGGGCCAAGUAGAGGCCAGGCCAUGGGGAGGAAGGUCCCUCCCUCUUCUGUGCAAGGCCAUGGGCUCUGUGGACAGCAAACCAAAAGAGCCCAUGGUCCCUACCAGGUCAAAUCUACCUGUAAGAAGCACAGGGUAUUAGGUUUUUCCUUCUUGAUACAACUAUUUGGGCAUCACCUGGACAAUGUUUCAGGAAGACUUGGGUUCCACUCCUGACUCUGCCCCUUACAGUUUGUGUCUUUGGACCAGUGAUCUAUUCUCCCAGAAUUUUGCUUCUUAUCUAUAAAAUCUCUAAAAUGGGUAUAUAAUCUCAAUCUAUAAAAAUGAGUGAAUGAGAACCUGAUGUAAAAAUUCUACUACAUGCCCAUCAGUAUGUGAAGGGACAAACAAAAUGUUCAUCCACACAGCGGAGUAUUGCUCAACCAUGAAAAUGACUGAAGCACCAGGUGCUAUAACAUGAAUGAACCCCAGAAAUGUUACCUAAGUGAAAGAAACCAGAUACAAAAGGCCAUGUAUCCUAUUGCUCCAUUUAAAUGACAUGUCUGUGUUUCUGAAGAAGACACACAGAUGGCCAACAGGCACAUGAAAAGAUGCUCGACAUCAUUAAUUACAAGAGAGAUGCGAAUCGAAAGUACAAUGGGGAACCACCACAUCAGUCAGAGUGGCCAUCAUUAAGAAGUCUACAGAUAACAAAUGCUGAAAAAGUUGUGGAGAAAAGGGAAUCCUCCUGCACUGUUGGUGGGAACAUAAGUUGGUGUAGCUAAUAUGGAAAAGAGUAGGGAGUUUCUAAAAAACGGAAAACAGAGUUGCCAUAUGAUCCAGCAAUCCCACUUCUGGGCAUAUACCCACACAAAAGCUGUCAUUCAAAAAGAUACAUGUAUCUCUGUAUUCAUAGCAGCACUAUGCACAAAAGCCAAGACAUGGAAACAGCCUAAAUGCCCACGGACAGAGGAACGGAUAAGGAAGAGGUGGAACAUAAAUGCAAUGGAAUACUACUCAGCCAUAAAAAAGAAAAGCUGCUGUUUGCAGCAAAAUGGACGCAAUUAGAGAUUAUCAUACUGAGUGAAGUAAAUCAGAUAGAAAAAUACCAUGUGAUAUCAUUUAUAUAUGGAACCUAAAACAUGGCACAGACGAACCCAUCUACAAAACAGAAACAGAGGUCAAAAACAGACUUGUGGUGGCCAAGGGGAGCAGGGGGGAGACAAGGAGUGGAGCAGGAGUUUGGGAUUAGCAGAUGCAAACUAUUAUAUAUAAAACGGAUAAACAAUAAGAUUCUACUGUAUAGCACAGGGAACUAUAUUCAGUCUUCUGGGAUAAACCAUAAUGGAAAAGAAUACAAAAUAAGAAUAUGUAUAUGUGUAUAACUGAAUCAAUUGGCUGUACAGCAGAAAUUAGCACAACGUUGUAGAUCAGCAAUAUAGUAAUAAAAAAAUAAAUGAAAUCUCUGGAAUUGGCAAGUGCAUAGAGGCAGAAAGCAGAUGAAUGGAUGUCAG